GCUUCCUACGGGAGGCAGCAGUAGGGAAUCUUCCGCAAUGGGCGCAAGCCUGACGGAGCAACGCCGCGUGAGUGAUGAAGGCCUUCGGGUUGUAAAACUCUGUCUUCUGUGAAGAACCAUCCUGUGCAGAGAAAGCUCAGGACCUGACGGUAACAGAGGAGGAAGCCCCGGCUAACUACGUGCCAGCAGCCGCGGUAAUACGUAGGGGGCAAGCGUUGUCCGGAUUCACUGGGCGUAAAGCGCGCGCAGGCGGUCUCUCACGUCCCGGGUGAAAGCCCAGAGCUCAACUCUGGGAUUGCCUUGGAUACGGGGAGACUUGAGGAUCGGAGAGGCAAGGGGAAUUCCACGUGUAGCGGUGAAAUGCGUAGAGAUGUGGAGGAGCACCUGUGGCGAAGGCGCCUUGCUGACCGAUUUCUGACGCUGAGGCGCGAAAGCGUGGGGAGCAAACAGGAUUAGAUACCCUGGUAGUCCACGCCGUAAACGAUGAGUGCUAGGUGCUAGGGGGCCCACCCCUUAGUGCCGAAGCUAACGCAUUAAGCACUCCGCCUGGGGAGUACGGUCGCAAGACUGAAACUC
rnacentral:rRNA from 1 species